rnacentral:tRNA from 1 species
GCCUGGAUGGUGGAACUGGUAGACACCUGGGACUUAAAAUCCCAUGACCUUUAGGGUCGUGCGAGUUCGAUUCUCGCUCCAGGCACCA